rnacentral:rRNA from 1 species
AACGAACGCUGGCGGCAUGCCUAACACAUGCAAGUCGAACGGGAUCCUGGCUUCGGCCAGGUGAGAGUGGCGGACGGGUGAGUAACGCGUGGGAACCUGCCCAUUGGUCUGGGAUAACUGCGGGAAACUGCAGCUAAUACCGGAUGUACCCGAGAGGGGAAAGAUUUAUCGCCGAUGGAGGGGCCCGCGUCAGAUUAGGUAGUUGGUGAGGUAACGGCUCACCAAGCCUACGAUCUGUAGCUGGUCUGAGAGGAUGAUCAGCCACACUGGGACUGAGAUACGGCCCAGACUCCUACGGGAGGCAGCAGUGGGGAAUAUUGGACAAUGGGGGGCAACCCUGAUCCAGCAAUGCCGCGUGAGUGAUGAAGGCCUUAGGGUUGUAAAGCUCUUUUACCAGGGACGAUGAUGACGGUACCUGGAGAAUAAGCCCCGGCUAACUUCGUGCCAGCAGCCGCGGUAAU